UACAGAGGGGGCGAGCGUUGUUCGGAAUUACUGGGCGUAAAGGGCGCGUAGGCGGCCUGCUAAGUCAUACGUGAAAUCCCUCGGCUCAACCGGGGAACUGCGUGUGAUACUGGCGGGCUUGAAUUCGGGAGAGGGAUGCGGAAUUCCAGGUGUAGCGGUGAAAUGCGUAGAUAUCUGGAGGAACACCGGUGGCGAAGGCGGCAUCCUGGACCGAGAUUGACGCUGAGGCGCGAAAGCCAGGGGAGCAAACGGG
rnacentral:rRNA from 1 species